rnacentral:rRNA from 1 species
UCAUAAUCAGUGAAAACGAGUAGGGCGGGACACGUGAUAUCCUGUCUGAAUAUGGGGGGACCAUCCUCCAAGGCUAAAUACUACUGACUGACCGAUAGUGAACCAGUACCGUGAGGGAAAGGCGAAAAGAACCCCUGUGAGGGGAGUGAAAUAGAACCUGAAACCGUGUACGUACAAGCAGUAGGAGCACCUUCGUGGUGUGACUGCGUACCUUUUGUAUAAUGGGUCAGCGACUUAAUUUUAGUAGCAAGGUUAACCGUUUAGGGGAGCCGUAGGGAAACCGAGUCUUAACUGGGCGUACAGUUGCUAGGAUUAGACCCGAAACCAGGUGAUCUAGCCAUGGGCAGGUUGAAGGUUGAGUAACAUCAACUGGAGGACCGAACCGACUAAUGUUGAAAAAUUAGCGGAUGACUUGUGGCUAGGGGUGAAAGGCCAAUCAAACCUGGAGAUAGCUGGUUCUCCCCGAAAGCUAUUUAGGUAGCGCCUCGGACGAAUACUACUGGGGGUAGAGCACUGUUAAGGCUAGGGGGUCAUCCCGACUUACCAACCCUUUGCAAACUCCGAAUACCAGUAAGUACUAUCCGGGAGACACACGGCGGGUGCUAACGUCCGUCGUGGAGAGGGAAACAACCCAGACCGCCAGCUAAGGUCCCAAAGUAUAGCUAAGUGGGAAACGAUGUGGGAAGGCUCAGACAGCCAGGAUGUUGGCUUAGAAGCAGCCAUCAUUUAAAGAAAGCGUAAUAGCUCACUGGUCGAGUCGGCCUGCGCGGAAGAUGUAACGGGGCUAAGCUAUACACCGAAGCUGCGGCUACGUACCUUAGGGUAUGUGGGGUAGGGGAGCGUUCUGUAAGCCGUUGAAGGUGUGCUGUAAGGCAUGCUGGAGGUAUCAGAAGUG